ensembl:snRNA U2 U2 spliceosomal RNA
AUCGCUUCUCGGCCUUUUGGCUAAGAUCAAGUGUAGUAUCUGUUCUUAUCAGUUUAAUAUCUGAUACGUCCCCUACCCGGGGACCAUAUAUUAAAUUGAUUUUUGGAGCAGGGAGAUGGAAUAGGGGCUUGCUCCGUCCACUCCACGCAUCGACCCGGUAUUGCAGUACUUCCGGGAACGGUGCACCCCCU